UGUAUUCGUGCUGCACCUUCGUAAUAAGAAGGUUGCGAAAUCAAAUGGUGGUACUUGAUAUAUGUUGGGAAUGAGGGGAGUAGCAGCACGUCCACUUUCACUCUCAUAUUAAGGCUGCCCAAGCGCAUCCAUGAUUUAAUUAGAAACUUGAUAUCAAAGGAUGUUUGUUUUUUUACUAGUCAUGCGCACUGGUUAAUUCAGUUCAUGUCGUAUGUUUAAC